CAGCAGAGUCAUAUUCCAUCAGAGAAGUUGUCCUCAUAUAUUUCACAGUUGUAUCAAGCUUGGUUUCCUAAAUGAAGUUGCAAUCAAGAUAGAAAAUAAAUGAUGAAUGGAAAAUUAACUGCAGGAGAUCAAACAGGAAUCAGCAUGGGCACCUGGGGGUGUGGAGGAAAGCUUCAUUUUAAGGAGGGGAGUGCUGUUGCAGGCUGGAUUGCUGCUGUCCCCUGCCUGACUGCCUAAACCUGCAUAUCUCAAGUUUCCCAGGUCACAAGGUUAUUCAUAUUUGCUUCCAUUAUAGCCUCUGCUACGGCACUAAUGCAUCACUCCUUUUGUGUUUGCCAGGAGGAAACACAUGGCAUUAGUCUGCCUGCAGUCUACACAGACAAGGACCAUCUGUGUUUGGUCACUGAGGAACUUGGCACGUCCCAGGCAGCUGCAGAGGCUGGGAGCCAUGGCCCAGAGAUGAUAUGAACCUCUUCACUCUGAUACAGCAACAUGAUCCACUGAGGUAAGAGCCA
rnacentral:lncRNA from 1 species